rnacentral:rRNA from 1 species
GUAGUCAUAUGCUUGUCUCAAAGAUUAAGCCAUGCAUGUCUAAGUAUAAGCAAUUAUACCGUGAAACUGCGAAUGGCUCAUUAAAUCAGUUAUCGUUUAUUUGAUAGUACCUUACUACUUGGAUAACCGUGGUAAUUCUAGAGCUAAUACAUGCUAAAAACCCCAACUUCGGGAGGGGUGUAUUUAUUAGAUAAAAAACCAAUGCCCUUCGGGGCUCCUUGGUGAUUCAUGAUAACUUCUCAGAUCGCAUGGCUUUACGCCGGCGACGGUUCAUUCAAAUUUCUGCCCUAUCAACUUUCGAUGGUAAGGUAUUGGCUUACCAUGGUUUCAACGGGUAACGGGGAAUG